rnacentral:tRNA from 1 species
GAGGGUAUAGCUUAGUGGUAGAGUGCAUGCCUACCAUGCACGAGGUUCUGGGUUCAAUCCCCAGUACCUCCC